AGGGAAUCUUCCACAAUGGACGCAAGUCUGAUGGAGCAACGCCGCGUGAGUGAAGAAGGUCUUCGGAUCGUAAAGCUCUGUUGUUGGUGAAGAAGGAUAGAGGCAGUAACUGGUCUUUAUUUGACGGUAAUCAACCAGAAAGUCACGGCUAACUACGUGCCAGCAGCCGCGGUAAUACGUAGGUGGCAAGCGUUGUCCGGAUUUAUUGGGCGUAAAGCGAGCGCAGGCGGAAUGAUAAGUCUGAUGUGAAAGCCCACGGCUCAACCGUGGAACUGCAUCGGAAACUGUCAUUCUUGAGUGCAAGAAGAGGAGAGUGGAACUCCAUGUGUAGCGGUGGAAUGCGUAGAUAUAUGGAAGAACACCAGUGGCGAAGGCGGCUCUCUGGUCUGCAACUGACGCUGAGGCUCGAAAGCAUGGGUAGCGAACAGGAUUAGAUACCCUGGUAGUCCAUGCCGUAAACGAUGAGC
rnacentral:rRNA from 1 species